rnacentral:tRNA from 3 species
GGGCCUGUAGCUCAGUUGGCAGAGCAUCGGACUUUUAAUCCGCGGGUCGUGGGUUCGAGCCCCACCGGGCCCAC